rnacentral:rRNA from 1 species
AGUGAACACUGGCGGUAGGCCUAACACAUGCAAGUCGAACGGCAGCACAGUAAGAGCUUGCUCUUACGGGUGGCGAGUGGCGGACGGGUGAGGAAUACAUCGGAAUCUACUUUUUCGUGGGGGAUAACGUAGGGAAACUUACGCUAAUACCACAUACGACCUACGGGUGAAAGCAGGGGAUCUUCGGACCUUGCGCGAUUGAAUGAGCCGAUGUCGGAUUAGCUAGUUGGCGGGGUAAAGGCCCACCAAGGCGACGAUCCGUAGCUGGUCUGAGAGGAUGAUCAGCCACACUGGAACUGAGACACGGUCCAGACUCCUACGGGAGGCAGCAGUGGGGAAUAUUGGACAAUGGGCGCAAGCCUGAUCCAGCCAUACCGCGUGGGUGAAGAAGGCCUUCGGGUUGUAAAGCCCUUUUGUUGGGAAAGAAAAGCAGCAGGUUAAUACCCCGCUGUUCUGACGGUACCCAAAGAAUAAGCACCGGCUAACUUCGUG